GACGAACGCUGGCGGCGUGCUUAACACAUGCAAGUCGAACGGAAAGGCCCUGCUUUUGUGGGGUGCUCGAGUGGCGAACGGGUGAGUAACACGUGAGUAACCUGCCCUUGACUUUGGGAUAACUUCAGGAAACUGGGGCUAAUACCGGAUAGGAGCUCCUGCUGCAUGGUGGGGGUUGGAAAGUUUCGGCGGUGGGGGAUGGACUCGCGGCUUAUCAGCUUGUUGGUGGGGUAGUGGCUUACCAAGGCUUUGACGGGUAGCCGGCCUGAGAGGGUGACCGGCCACAUGGGGACUGAGAUACGGACCAGACUCCUACGGGAGGCAGCAGGGGGGAAGAUGGCACAAUGGGCGGAAGCCUGAUGCAGCAACGCCGCGUGCGGGAUGACGGCCUUCGGGUUGUAAACCGCUUUCGCCUGUGACGAAGCGUGAGUGACGGUAAUGGGUAAAGAAGCACCGGCUAACUACGUG
rnacentral:rRNA from 1 species